rnacentral:misc_RNA from 1 species
AAAAGUCGUAACAAGGUUUCCGUAAUCCAACGUUAAACACCCCCCCCAAGCAGUCAGUGUCGGAAAGUGUCAUUGAUUGUGCAAGGAUAGCGCUUCACGAUUCCUGUAGACCGCAGGAGCUAUGCCAGGGUCCCCAUGCCCCCUUACAACCCCACAGUUAAUGUAAAGCUCAAUGUAAUACAUUGGGUAAAAAAAACCGAACAACUGUUAACAAUGGAUAUCUUGGUUCUC